rnacentral:rRNA from 1 species
AAAUGAAUUGACGGGGGCCCGCACAAGCAGUGGAGUAUGUGGUUUAAUUCGAAGCAACGCGAAGAACCUUACCAGGGCUUGACAUGUAUGGAAUCUUACGGAAACGUAGGAGUGCCUUAGGGAGCCAUAACACAGGUGGUGCAUGGUUGUCGUCAGCUCGUGUCGUGAGAUGUUGGGUUAAGUCCCGCAACGAGCGCAACCCCUAUCGUUAGUUGCCAGCAUUAAGUUGGGCACUCUAGCGAGACUGCCGGUGACAAAUCGGAGGAAGGUGGGGACGACGUCAAAUCAUCAUGCCCCUUAUGUCCUGGGCUACACACGUACUACAAUGGCUGUAAACAGAGGGGAGCGAGGCAGCGAUGCCAAGCAAAUCCCAAAACACAGCCUCAGUUCAGAUUGCAGGCUGAAACUCGCCUGUAUGAAGUAGGAAUUGCUAGUAAUCGCGAAUCAGCAUGUCGCGGUGAAUACGUUCCCGGGCCUUGUACACACCGCCCGU